UCGAGGGGCAGCAUAUAGAUUGCUUGCAAUUUAUGAUGGCGACCGGCGCACGGGUGAGUAACGCGUAUCCAACCUACCCAUUACUAGGGAAUAACCCAGCGAAAGUUGGCCUAAUGCCCUAUGUAGUCGUUUGAUCGCCUGAGAUUUCGACGAAAGAUUUAUCGGUAUUGGAUGGGGAUGCGUCUGAUUAGCUUGUUGGCGGGGUAAAGGCCCACCAAGGCAACGAUCAGUAGGGGUUCUGAGAGGAAGGUCCCCCACAUCGGAACUGAGACACGGUCCAAACUCCUACGGGAGGCAGCAGUGAGGAAUAUUGGUCAAUGGGCGAGAGCCUGAACCAGCCAAGUAGCGUGCAGGAUGACGGCCCUAUGGGUUGUAAACUGCUUUUAUAUGGGAAUAAAGUGAGGGACGUGUCCCUUAUUGCAUGUGCCAUACGAAUAAGGACCGGCUAAUUCCGUGCCAGCAGCCGCGGUAAUACGGAAGGUCCAGGCGUUAUCCGGAUUUAUUGGGUUUAAAGGGAGCGUAGGCUGUUUGUUAAGCGUGUUGUGAAAUGUAGGAGCUCAACUUUUAGAUUGCAGCGCGAACUGGCAGACUUGAGUGCGCACAACGUAGGCGGAAUUCAUGGUGUAGCGGUGAAAUGCUUAGAUAUCAUGACG
rnacentral:rRNA from 1 species